AUGGUCAACUGUCUUACCGAAAGAGUGACAAAUGGUAUGAACUCAUCGCUGCUCAAGGAAUUCUCAGAAAAGGAAGUUAGCGAUGCGCUGUUUCAAAUUGGACCACUCAAAGCGCCUGGCCCUGACGGUUUCCCAGCCAGGGUUUUUCAAAGGAAUUGGAGUACGGUCAAGAAGGACGUGGUGAAUGCGGUUCUAAAUUUUUUCAGGGAGGGCGUCAUGCCAGAGGGAAUCAAUGAUACAGUCAUUGUGCUUAUACCCAAGAAAAACAACCCAAAGCACUUGAAAGAUUUCCGUCCAAUAAGCCUGUGUAAUGUGGUCUACAUGGUUAUCUCGAAAUGCAUGUUGGAUUUGGCGAAAGCGUACGAUAGAGUAGACUGGGGCUUCUUGGAAGAGGCCCUGUUGAAGCUUGGUUUCAAUCGCAAAUGGGUGGAUUGGGUGAUGUGCUGUGUGAAAUCUGUGAGGUAUUCUGUUAAAUACAAUGGUGAGCUCCUUAACACAUUCGCCCCCUCCAGAGGACUUCGGCAGGGUGACCCGCUAAGCCCUUACCUUUUCCUCUUCGUUGCGGAGGGACACACCUGUCUGUUGGAUAAAGAGAUUCGAUCUGGAAAUAUAACUCCCAUUAAAAUUGCUAGGGGUUGCCCUGGGAUUUCAAAUCUACUAUUCGCCGAUGACAGCCUUCUCUUUUUCAAAGCUUCAGUUGAAGAGGCCGAGAGGGUGAAACAAGUCCUAAUUGAUUUCCAAAAGGGCUCGGGACAACUUCUCAGUUUCAGCAAGUGUUCUUUAUUUUUCAGUGAGCUAUGCCCAGUGGAGGUCCAACAAGAUGUCAAAAUGGUGCUUGAUAUCAUGGCCUCCACCUUUGAAAGCAAGUAUUUAGGACUCCCCACGCCAGAAGGACGAAUGAAAGAUUCCAUGUUCCAACCUAUCAUGGAGAGAUUCAUCAAGAGGUUCUCAGAUUGGUCUGAAAGAUUUAUGUCUCAUGCGUCGAAAGAGGUUCUUGUUAAGUCAGUCCUACAAGCUCUCCCAACUUACUGCAUGGGGGUCUUCAAAAUGACCCAGGGUUUCUGCAAGAGAUACGAGAAACUGAUACGGGACUUCUGGUGGGGCGAUGAAAAUGGCCACAAGAAAGUUCAUUGGAUGUCCUGGGAGCGCAUGAUAAAGCCAAAAAGAGGAGGUUGCAUCGGUUUUAAAGAUAUGAAGCUUUUCAAUCAAGCACUGCUCGCACGGCAAGCCUGGAGGUUGAUUCUAAGACCGCAUAGCUUGUGCGCAAGAGUUCUUAAAUUCAAGUACUACCCGUAUGGUGAACUAUUGGAUAUGGUGUUUGCAACGAAUGCCUCUCCGGUUUGGCGGGGAAUUGAACAUGGGCUUGAGCUUCUCAAGGCGGAUCUUGUCUCGAGGAUUGGUAAUGGAAGGAAGGUCAACAUUCAACGGGAUCAAUGGAUCCCGCGCAAGGAAGGACUGAAACCUGCUCAAUUCAUUCGGCGUUCCAGAUUAAGAUGGGUUAAUCAAUUGAUGAAUGCUGACGGCAGCGGUUGGAACUCGGAGUUGAUCCACCAACUGUUUUUUAGUUUUGAUGCCGAAGCGAUUUGCAAUAUCAAAAUCCCAGUAUCUGAGGCGGAGGACACGGUGGCGUGGCACUAUGAGAAAUCGGGCACCUUCACUGUCCGGAGUGCGUACAGACUGGCGGCAUCUCUCCAAAUCCAAGAAAGUAGGCCAGCUUCGAGUUCCACAAAUUCAGGCGAUGACCGUAGCAUCUGGGAUAUCAUCUGGAAAGCCAAGGUCCCUGAAAAAAUUAAGAUUUUUGGGUGGAGAAUAGCUACAAAUACCUUACCGACCAAAUUAAACAAAUGGAAACGUACUCUAGAAGUUGACAACACCUGCAAUAUCUGUGGCAACGGGGAGGAAGAUGAAUAUCAUGCGGUAAUUUCCUGUACGAAAAGUAAGGCCUUAAGAAGCGAAAUGCGGAAAGUCUGGGAUCUACCUAGCGAGACACUCUUUAGGUUCUCAGGGGAGGACUGGCUUCAGAUCCUCCUAGGAACCUGCAAUACGGAGAUGGGGACUAAAACUAUUCUGCUGCUGUGGAGGUGUUGGUUCCUGCGAGAUGAUUGCAUCCAUAGUACGGGAAAGGAGUUGAUCAGUAGAUCGGCACAAUUUCUGCAGCAAUAUGAGGAGGAACUGAUCAGCUACAACAGGAAGUUUUUUCAGGACCAAAGGAUAAACAAGGCAGGGAGCAUACAGUUCUUGUUUCGGCCGAGCAAGAACGACCUGUCUCUGACGCUGGUGUACAGAUGUUACAGGACAAGGAACCUGAUUCGGGUGUUGCAAAGAAGUGGUACCCCCCCAGACAGCGAAACUGUCAAACUGAAUACUGAUUCUUCUUUCGUUGCCGACAACGGGAUUUCUCAUGUGGGCGCAGUGGCUCGCGAUCACGGGGGAAUCGUUCUCCACUCGCUGUCCAAAGAAAUUGAUCGCUGCUCUUCUGUGGAGGAAGCCGAGGCUCGUGCUCUGCUCUAUGGACUGCAGAAAUUGGCGACGCUGUACAGAGGACCUGUCAUCGCUGAGACUGACUGUUUAUUCCUGGUGAAGGAAUUACAACCUGAUUCAGAUAAUCGAUCAGCCUGUUUCUCAGUGCUACACGACAUCAAGAAGGAGCUGCAGAAUUUCCAAGGAUCUCAGGUCAUAUAUGCUAACCGUAAACAGAACAAUUUGGCGGAUUGCCUCGCGGCCAGAGCUAGGAGAAUGGGCGACAUGCAAUGGGUGGCGACUGUCCCGGAUGACCUGAAAGCAGUGCUAGCAGCCGACUGUAUGUUGGCUCAAGAGUAA
rnacentral:rRNA from 1 species